rnacentral:tmRNA from 1 species
GGGGAUGUCAGGUUUCGACAGGGCUCAGGGACCGGGAACUGCAGGUCGAGGUCGCCCGCAGGCCUCGUAAAACCGCGGGCAAGCCAGUAACUGGCAAGAACAGUUACGCUCUCGCCGCCUAAGUAGCGACGAGCGCCGACACGGCCCUCUCUCGCCGGGCCGUGAAGGCGUCAUAAGGCGAGAUGCGGUGUCGCCGACUCCGGUGAGUGGCGCCAAAGGGCCGCGAGGCCAGCCGGAUAGCGAGCGGAGCACCCCGCCGGUUGGGGGCCCGCAAGCGAAGCUCGAAAUAGGCCGGAAACACCUGUAGCACGUUCCCGGCGACUCGGUUCUGGACGGGGAGUUCGAUUCUCCCCCAUCUCCACCA